GCCAGAUGUGGUGGCAUGCACAUCUGUAGUCCCAGCCACUCAGGAGGCUGAGGUAGGAGGAUCACUUGAGCCCAGGAGUUGAAGGUUGCAGUGAGCUAUGAUGGUGCCUGUGAAUAGCCAAUGCACUCCAGCCUGGGCAACAUAGUGAGACUCUGGUUCUU
ensembl:misc_RNA Metazoa_SRP Metazoan signal recognition particle RNA